rnacentral:rRNA from 1 species
UACGUAGGGGGCAAGCGUUGUCCGGAUUUACUGGGCGUAAAGAGCGUGUAGGCGGCCAAACAGGUCCGUUGUGAAAACUGGAGGCUGAACCUCCAGACGUCGACGGAAACCGUGUGGCUAGAGUCCGGAAGAGGAGAGUGGAAUUCCUGGUGUAGCGGUGAAAUGCGCAGAUAUCAGGAAGAACACCAAUGGCGAAGGCAGCUCUCUGGGACGGUACUGACGCUGAGACGCGAAAGCUAGGGGAGCGAACGGG